rnacentral:lncRNA from 1 species
AUAGGCUGCACUUCUACUGUUUGUUUAGCUGUAGAGCCCUUGCUACAAGCGUUUCACCAAACAUACUUUGGGAAAUAGAGUCUUACUUGAAUGAAGAUUCAUCCUGCUGAUUUUUCUAAGUCAUCAACACCAAAAGACUCAAAAUCUAUACUUCUCUCAACUAAACUAGAAAUAGUUUGAUAUUUAUAUUGUUAUAAGCUCUUACCCAAAGAGUGUUGAAACUUGAAUUGAUUUUAUAUUUCCUUUCUAGAUUAUUAAAAACUCCAAUUUGUGUCUGUGUAACUCAACGUGGGAACCUGGAACCAUGUUUACUCUUCUGAUGACCCUGAAAGUAGCACCUGCCUGUGAUGGCUGUGCAUUGGUAAGUCCUAAACGUAGCCUGCAUGCUCUGCUCUGCCGUCCUCAGCCCUCUGUCCCCUUCCCCAGCUGCCAUGACCAACUUCCCUGUGCAUAACAAGGUGUUAGUCAUCAACUGGGUGCUGGGGUGAGGGAGGAAGAGUCAAAUGGGAUUGAACAGUGUUGAGUUGACGUGAGCAAAAAAGACACCACUAAUGGAGGAAAAAUGAUAUGUAAGAUGAUAUUACACAUGGCUUUUUAAAGCAUAGGGGACUGGUGGUCAGUAAAGAACUGAAUGCAGUCAGAAUAAGAAGAUCAAGUAACUUCACUGACUUUUAAAAAAUACAUACAUUUUUAAUAGUUUUCUUCAUUUAAAAGUAACAUUUAUUUUAAGCAAUUUAGAAAAUUUCUCUCAGAGAAGUGAAAAGAGAGAGAAAAAGUUUACACAUAUUCUGAUCACAGAAUAACUGGCGCACUGCGCAAGUGGAAAUCCCCAAAGUGUAAACAAACAACCUCCGAACUAUUUUUCAAACUGUUGUUCAAGUUGACUCAAACCUGCUCUCUGCCUGGUACUGUUUUGUUCCUUUGGUAAAUCUAGGGCAGAUGUCUUGACUCCCUUUUUCCCUGUCAAAUGAGGAAAGUUCUCUUAUAACUUUUAAUCACAAAACAAACUCUGUCAGUGAUUUAAUUAAUUAAUUAAUUUGUUUAUUGAGAUGGAGUCUCACUCACUCUGUCAUGCAGGCUGGAGUGCAGUGGUGAGAUCAUGGCUCACUUCAACCUCCACCUCCCUGUUCAAGUGAUUCUCCUGCCUCAGCCUCCUAAGUAGCUGGGACUACAGGUGCCUGCCACCACACCUGGCUAG